AACGUACGCUGGCGGCACGCCUUAUACAUGCAAGUCGAACGAAGUAGCGAUACUUAGUGGCAGACGGGUGAGUAACAUGUAGGUAUCUUCCCUUUGGUGAGGAAUAACACGAGGAAACUUGUGCUAAUACCUCAUAAGUCUUUACGGAGAAAGCUUUAUGCGCCGAAGGAUGAGCCUGCAUUUGAUUAGUUUGUUGGUGGGGUAAUGGCCUACCAAGACUUUGAUCAAUAGCUGAUCUGAGAGGAUGAUCAGCCACAUUGGGACUGAGACACGGCCCAAACUCCUACGGGAGGCAGCAGUAGGGAAUAUUGCACAAUGGAGGAAACUCUGAUGCAGCGAUGCCGCGUGAGUGAAGAAGGCCUUGGGUGUAAAGCUCUUUCGUCGGGAAGAAAUGACUGUACCGAAUAAGAAGGUCCGGCUAACUUCGUGCCAGCAGCCGCCGCCGUAAG
rnacentral:rRNA from 1 species